CCUACGGGAGGCAGCAGUGAGGAAUAUUGGUCAAUGGUCGGGAGACUGAACCAGCCAAGCCGCGUGAGGGAUGAAUGUACUGAGGAUUGUAAACUUCUUUUGUCAGGGAACAAAGGCGGGGACGUGUCCCCGUUUGAGUGUACCUUAAGAAAAAGCAUCGGCUAACUCCGUGCCAGCAGCCGCGGUAAUACGGAGGAUGCGAGCGUUAUCCGGAUUUAUUGGGUUUAAAGGGUGCGUAGGGGGUGUGUUAAGUCAGCGGGGAAAGGGUGGGGCUCAACCCAAGCAUCGCGGUUGAAACUGGCAGUCUUGAGUAGAGGAGAAGUAUGCGGAAUGCGUGGUGUAGCGGUGAAAUGCAUAGAUAUCGCGAAGAACUCCGAUUGCGAAGGCAGCAUGCCGGAU
rnacentral:rRNA from 1 species